rnacentral:rRNA from 1 species
UACGGAGGGUGCGAGCGUUAAUCGGAAUUACUGGGCGUAAAGGGCGCGCAGGCGGUCUUGUAAGUCAGAUGUGAAAUCCCCGGGCUGAACCUGGGAAUUGCAUUUGAGACUGGGAGGCUAGAGUCCGGUAGGGGGGGGUAGAAUUCCACGUGUAGCGGUGAAAUGCGUAGAGAUGUGGAGGAAUACCGAAGGCGAAGGCAGCCCCCUGGGA